UAGCUUCAGCAGCACAUACACUAAAAUUGGAAUGAUACAGAGAAGAUUAACGUGGCCCCUGCGUAAGAAUGGCAUGCUAAUUCGUGAGGCGUUCCAUAUUUUU